rnacentral:rRNA from 1 species
AGUCGAACGGCAGCACGGGGGCAACCCUGGUGGCGAGUGGCGAACGGGUGAGUAAUACAUCGGAACGUGUCCUGUAGUGGGGGAUAGCCCGGCGAAAGCCGGAUUAAUACCGCAUACGAUCUACGGAAGAAAGCGGGGGCUCUCGGGACCUCGCGCUAUAGGGGCGGCCGAUGGCAGAUUAGCUAGUUGGUGGGGUAAAGGCCUACCAAGGCGACGAUCUGUAGCUGGUCUGAGAGGACGACCAGCCACACUGGGACUGACACACGGCCCAGACUCCUACGGGAGGCAGCAGUGGGGAAUUUUGGACAAUGGGGGAAACCCUGAUCCAGCAAUGCCGCGUGUGUGAAGAAGGCCUUCGGGUUGUAAAGCACUUUUGUCCGGAAAGAAAACCUUUGCACUAAUACUGUGGGGGGAUGACGGUACCGGAAGAAUAAGCACCGGCUAACUACGUGCCAGCAGCCGCGGUAAUACGUAGGGUGCGAGCGUUAAUCGGAAUUACUGGGCGUAAAGCGUGCGCAGGCGGUUCGUUAAGACAGAUGUGAAAUCCCCGGGCUUAACCUGGGAACUGCAUUUGUGACUGGCGAGCUAGAGUAUGGCAGAGGGGGGUAGAAUUCCACGUGUAGCAGUGAAAUGCGUAGAGAUGUGGAGGAAUACCGAUGGCGAAGGCAGCCCCCUGGGCCAAUACUGACGCUCAUGCACGAAAGCGUGGGGAGCAAACAGGAUUAGAUACCCUGGUAGUCCACGCCCUAAACGAUGUCAACUAGUUGUUGGGGAUUCAUUUCCUUAGUAACGUAGCUAACGCGUGAAGUUGACCGCCUGGGGAGUACGGUCGCAAGAUUAAAACUCAAAGGAAUUGACGGGGACCCGCACAAGCGGUGGAUGAUGUGGAUUAAUUCGAUGCAACGCGAAAAACCUUA